ensembl:snRNA U4 U4 spliceosomal RNA
AGCUUUGCGCAGUGGCAGUAUCGUAGCCUAUGAGGUUUAUCCGAGGCGCGAUUAUUGCUAGUUGAAAACUUUACCUACUCAACUUGAACUUGAACUUUAAUAGCAGCUGUAUUGAACAAAUAAUCUGUGCUUCAAUAACUGUAAGCCUUCUGUCUUUUGGUGGAAUGCACUUUUUUUUUUACUCAGGG